rnacentral:rRNA from 1 species
GGGGAUAACAUUUGGAAACAAUGCUAAUACCGUAUAAUAAUUAAAACCGCAUCGGUUUAGUUUAAAGAUGGUCUUGCUAUCACUAAGAGAUGGGUCCCGCGGUGUAUUAGUUAGUUGGUGAGGUAAUGGCUCGACCAAGACAAUGAUACCAUAGCCGAGUUGAGAGACUGACCGGCCACAAUGGGACUGAGACACGGCCCCAUACUCCUACGGGAGGCAGCAGUAGGGGAUCUUCCACAAUGGACGAAAGUCUGAUGGAGCAACGCCGCGUGUGGUGAUGAAGGGUUUCGGCUCGUAAAACACUGUUGUAAGAGAAGAAUGACAUUGAGAGUAACUGUUCAAUGUGUGACGGUAUCUUACCAGAAAGGAACGGCUAAAUACGUG